CCUACGGGGGGCUGCAGUGGGGAAUAUUGGACAAUGGGGGGAACCCUGAUCCAGCCAUGCCGCGUGUGUGAAGAAGGCCCUCGGGUUGUAAAGCACUUCCAGUGAGGAAGAACGCCUGGUGGUUAAUACCCAUCAGGAAAGACAUCACUCACAGAAGAAGCACCGGCUAACUCCGUGCCAGCAGCCGCGGUAAUACGGAGGGUGCGAGCGUUAAUCGGAAUUACUGGGCGUAAAGCGCGCGUAGGUGGCUUGAUAAGCCGGUUGUGAAAGCCCCGGGCUCAACCUGGGAACGGCAUCCGGAACUGUCAAGCUAGAGUGCAGGAGAGGAAGGUAGAAUUCCCGGUGUAGCGGUGAAAUGCGUAGAGAUCGGGAGGAAUACCAGUGGCGAAGGCGGCAUUCUGGACUGACACUGACACUGAGGUGCGAAAGCGUGGGUAGCAAACAGGAUUAGAUACCCUAGUAGUC
rnacentral:rRNA from 1 species